rnacentral:lncRNA from 1 species
GACGUCACACUCACAAUUUAACUGUCCACAUGUUUUCUUUCUGUGUAGAACAGGAAACAGUGAGACAGUGUCCAGGCAAUUUCGUCCCAGAUGUGUGACAUACAGGAUCUUAGAUAGCUGCGAGCUGACAGGCCUUUCUACACAAAAGCCCUCACAGUCCUUCCCGAUUGCUUUGAUAGGCUCUGGGCAGGACUCGGAGGUUGAGGUCUGCAGCACUGGGUGAUGGGGUAUACCUUGAGACAUGCAAAGUCCCAAAGCACGAACAGGCUACCUAGAAAGUUCUUCAGGUGAAAUGGAGACAAUAGCUCCUGGAACUAAGCCCUUCGCACCUACCAUUCUGAAACCCAAGAAUGGUUCCCUGGUUGAUAAAGGCUGCAGUAUGUCUCCCAGAGCCUCUCUUCACGCUCACCAUGGGCUUGUUUCCCCAGGGCGGCUGGGCAGUGGGUAGCACAGUGUUUGCUGGGUAUUGCAGAGCAAGGAAGGGUGUGAAUGGCCUUGAGAAAGCCCUUCGCAAUCCAGGGCCCUACAGGCCUGCAGGGGAGAGACCCAGCAGAGAAUAGGAAUCUGAUGGGUGAGACCAUUUUCCUUAAGCAAGGCUGGCAGGACUGUGUGCGUGCGUGCGUGUGUGUGUGUGUGUGUGUGUGUGUGUGUGUGUGUGUGUAACAUGCUAAUCAAUACUAUCUUUUGAAGAGAGGAAAGGAGGUUGGUUCCUGACAGAGUUGUGAGGAGGAUGGAGAGGAGAAGACCCUGGCGCAGACCCCCACCUGGCCCCACCUCCUGCGAGGGUAUCACUGUUGGUUCACUCUGACUCUGUAUUCACCUGACGUGCUGAGGAGCCUGGGCAGGCUCUCGUGAUCACACCCGCUCUGCUGGGCUGGCCCUUGUACCAGCAAGGAGGCCCAGGAGGCUCCAGUGCUUCUGCUCCUGCUCUGUUCACCCCUCCCCCGUGCCUGGUGUUCACACAGGCUCCCAGUGGCCUGGGACUGAUGUCUUCUUACUUACCAACAGUGUCAGGGCAACAUCAGUGGAAUGAGAACCCUGCUGAGCACAUGGGGCAGCUGUUUCCGUGGGACCUGCUGUCCUGACCUGGGAGUGCCAUGCUGGGGACAUGCUGAGGACCACAGGUGAUUUGAUGAAGGUAGUACUGUGUACCUUGCAAACACACCUCCAGUUAGUUACUCUCAGACGCUGCAGAUUUUCAAUUUUCUAGUAAAAGGAUUUCAUCAUAAAAGAGCUAGCCCCAGAAGUACCACCUUGUGACCUUUCAGAUAGAAUUUAGAGGGUUUAGAGAUGGCCCCAGGGAACUGCCUUUUCUGUACAAAGAUCCAGCUGUGUCCUGCCUCUCCACUCUAGAGGCAGCUGAGCAUUCAAAGAUCUCUGUGAGGCAGAGAUGGGACCGUCCCCCCAAGCCCCCAUCACGAUCUACUUCUUAUUGAUGAAGCUGACGAUUUCUCUCUGUUUCUCCCUCUACAUGUAGGAGGUGCAGGAGUGGCCUCCAGGGGCACAGCCCACCUCCACUGACCCCCUGGCUCCCUGAGGCAGAGACACGGGUGCAGAGCUGGCCUAUCACAUGCUCUUUCCUGGUACCCUGAGUUUUUGGGUGAAUGAAGAAAAGGAGGGAGGAGAGAGAGGGUGGUGACUCCUCCAGGGGACAUGCCCCAGGAUCUGAGCUUAGGGUGGAGCUGCUACGCCCUGGCCACCAUGGCUUCUGGUUUUCCAACCUGGUCUCCCCACCCUGUGAAGAGCCCACUAUCACACAUUGUCCUGGCGGCUGAGGACCUUGGCUGUACCUCAGCCCGUUUGUUGGCCAGUGAGAAUGUUUCUGGACACCCUACACUCCUUUUCUGGACAACCGUAGGAUGUGUGGACAGGAUGACUGUGGGCCCCAGGCCCCUUCUCCAUACAGAAAGAGGGCACACAGAGCCAGCUAUGGCGAGUCAUGCAGCAUGAGCCUAGAGUGUGUGAGCUCUGGGUUCCCACAAUACGGAGGCAGGACAGGGAUGCAGAUAAAAGGGGCCCAUGAACUAGCUUUUCCAGACCAGACCAAAUCUUUAAUUUUCUUAGUCCCGAUUUUCAACUUUAAAGUCAUGACUCUAGGAACUGGAGAGGUGGCUCAGUGGUUAAGAGCACUUGCUGUUCUCCCAGAGGACCAGGGUUCGAUUCCCAAAUGCCCACAUAAUGGCUCACAACUAUCUGUGAGUCCUGUUCUAGGGGACCUGACUCCCUCUUCUGAGCUCCUCCAGCAGCACACAUGCGUGUGGUGCACAGACGCACAUGCAGGCAAAAUACCAAUACACAUAUAAAAAUAAAAGAUAGAAAGCAUUUAAAAACCAGGACUGCUAUUUUGCUUCAUUUAAAUUUGAGAUAAGUUAAUAUAAAAUUCACUCUGUAAAAGAAGAAGUUAAUUGAAGUUAUUGACUUUUGUUUUUAAAGAUAGGAUCUCA